rnacentral:rRNA from 1 species
CCUACGGGUGGCAGCAGUGAGGAAUAUUGGUCAAUGGGCUUACGCCUGCACCAGCCAAGUCGCGUGAGGGAAGACUGCCCUAUGGGUUGUAAACCUCUUUUGUCAGGGAGCAACGCCGGCUACGUGUAGCCGGACUGAGAGUACCUGAAGAAAAAGCAUCGGCUAACUCCGUGCCAGCAGCCGCGGUAAUACGGAGGAUGCGAGCGUUAUCCGGAUUUAUUGGGGUUAAAGGGUGCGUAGGCGGUUUUUUAAGUUAGUGGUUAAACGUCGGGGCUUCACCUUGAUUUGCCAUUAAUACUGUAAGACUCGAGUUCAGACGAGGUAGGCGGAAUAAGUUAAGUAGCGGUGAAAUGCUUAGAUAUAACUUAGAACUCCGAUAGCGAAGGCAGCUUACCAGACUGCGACUGACGCUGAAGCACGAGAGCGUGGGUAGCGAACAGGAUUAGAUACCCGAGUAGUC